AGAAAUUUUGACGCAUAUUGCACGUCGUGGGAACCUACCAUGACGAACACAUACUUGAGCGCUU
rnacentral:rRNA from 1 species